UGGGGAAUAUUGGACAAUGGGCGAAAGCCUGAUCCAGCUAUGCCGCGUGAGUGAUGAAGGCCUUAGGGUUGUAAAGCUCUUUUACUAGGGAUGAUAAUGACAGUACCUAGAGAAUAAGCUCCGGCUAACUCCGUG
rnacentral:rRNA from 1 species